CCCUUAGAUGUCCUGGGCCGCACGCGCGUUACACUGAUGCAUUCAACGAGCUUCUAACCUUGGCCGAGAGGCCUGGGCAAUCUUGUUAACGUGCAUCGUGAUAGGGAUAGAUUAUUGAAAUUAUUAAUCUUGAACGAGGAAUUCCUAGUAAACGCAGAUCAUCAAUCUGCAUUGAUUACGUCCCUGCCCUUUGUACACACCGCCCGUCGCACCUACCGAUUGGAUGGUCCGGUGAAGCCUCGGGAUUGUGGUUCUUGCCGCUUUAUUGUGGCGUGACCGCGAGAACUUGUCUAAACCUUAUCAUCUAGAGGAAGGUGAAGUCGUAACA
rnacentral:rRNA from 1 species